CCGAUUGCUUUGAGGGGGCUCCUGCCGGAAAAUGUUCGAGUAGCCAUUGUGAAGCUAUGUGCAUUCCUCAAUGCAAUCUCUCAGAAGGUAAUCAAUCCAGAAGAUCUACCACGGUUACAGAACGAUGUGAUCCAAUGUCUUGUCAGUUUCGAGUUGGUGUUCCCGCCAUCCUUCUUCAAUAUUAUGACGCACCUCUUGGUUCACCUAGUCGAAGAGAUUUUCAUUCUCGGUCCUGUAUUUCUACACAAUAUGUUCCCCUUCGAGAGGUUCAUGGGAGUAUUAAAGAAAUAUGUUCGUAACCGUGCUAGUCCAGAAGGAAGCAUCGCCAAGGGCUAUGGAAAUGAGGAGGUAAUUGAGUUUUGUGUUGACUUUGUUCCUGACCUUAAGCCGAUUGGUCUUCCUCGAUCGCGGCACAAGGGGAGACUAAGUGGAAAAGGCAUGAUCGGAAGGAAAUCAACGACAUGUAUGGACGGCCAUUCUCUGACUGAAGCACACCACACUGUACUGACCAAUUCCAGCUUGGUGGCUCCGUACUUUGAGAAACACAAGAAUAUUUUACGCUCGGACAACCCGGGGAAGCCUGAAUCCUGGAUUAGGAAGGCCCACAUGGAGACUUUCGGCAGUUGGUUGAGAAAACAUUUAAUGAAUGACAAUGAUGUUGUAGAUCAGCUGUACAUGUUGGCCAAGACACCAUCUUCGACUAUA
rnacentral:rRNA from 1 species